GUGGAGCAUGUGGCUUAAUUUGACUCAACGCGGGAAAUCUUACCGGGUCCGGACACACUGAGGAUUGACAGGCAAUAUUAGCACUUAGCUUCGGCGACGUGUUAUGUUAAAUAUGCUAGUCCUUUCAUGAUUAUGUGAUAGGUGGUGCAUGGCCGUUCUUAGUUCGUGGAGUGAUCUGUCUGCUUAAUUGCGUUUCACCAAGGGCCUAUAAUUUUACGUGUGUUGCGGCACUUUGACCCCUCUUUUUUUAAAGAGCGCGUGUCUUGGUUUGCUUAGCUCGCACAAUUAGGUCCUGAAAGCAACGAACGUGACCGCAACCUCUUGUUGCCUUUAUACCAAACGUGCAUAUGCAAUUUUUUAAUUGCUUUGCGCGCAAAAAGGCUUUUUAAACUAGAGGGACCGCUGUUACUUUCUUAAACCAGAGGAAGGUUGCGGCAAUAACAGGUCUGU
rnacentral:rRNA from 1 species